AGUGAACGCUGGCGGUAGGCCUAACACAUGCAAGUCGAACGGCAGCACAGUAAGAGCUUGCGCUUACGGGUGGCGAGUGGCGGACGGGUGAGGAAUACAUCGGAAUCUACUUUUUCGUGGGGGAUAACGUAGGGAAACUUACGCUAAUACCGCAUACGACCUACGGGUGAAAGCAGGGGAUCUUCGGACCUUGCGCGAUUGAAUGAGCCGAUGUCGGAUUAGCUAGUUGGCGGGGUAAGGGCGCACCAAGGCGACGAUCCGUAGCUGGUCUGAGAGGAUGAUCAGCCACACUGGAACUGAGACACGGUCCAGACUCCUACGGGAGGCAGCAGUGGGGAAUAUUGGACAAUGGGCGCAAGCCUGAUCCAGCCAUACCGCGUGGGUGAAGAAGGCCUUCGGGUUGUAAAGCCCUUUUGUUGGGAAAGAAAAGCAGCAGGUUAAUACCCCGCUGUUCUGACGGUACCCAAAGAAUAAGCACCGGCUAACUUCGUG
rnacentral:rRNA from 1 species